ACUCCUACGGGAGGCAGCAGUGGGGAAUAUUGCACAAUGGGCGCAAGCCUGAUGCAGCCAUGCCGCGUGUGUGAAGAAGGCCUUCGGGUUGUAAAGCACUUUCAGUCGUGAGGAAGGUAGUGUAGUUAAUAGCUGCAGUAUUUGUACGUUAGCGACAGAAGAAGCACCGGCUAACUCCGUGCCAGCAGCCGCGGUAAUACGGAGGGUGCGAGCGUUAAUCGGAAUUACUGGGCGUAAAGCGCAUGCAGGUGGUUUGUUAAGUCAGAUGUGAAAGCCCGGGGCUCAACCUCGGAAUAGCAUUUGAAACUGGCAGACUAGAGUACUGUAGAGGGGGUAGAAUUUCAGGUGUAGCGGUGAAAUGCGUAGAGAUCUGAAGGAAUACCGGUGGCGAAGGCGGCCCCUGGACAGAUACUGACACUCAGAUGCGAAAGCGUGGGAGCAAACAGGAUUAGAUACCCCUGGUAGACUGUCA
rnacentral:rRNA from 1 species